GAUGAACGCUGGCGGCGUGCCUAAUACAUGCAAGUCGAGCGAACAGAUGAGGAGCUUGCUCCUCUGACGUUAGCGGCGGACGGGUGAGUAACACGUGGAUAACCUACCUAUAAGACUGGGAUAACUUCGGGAAACCGGAGCUAAUACCGCAUAAUAUAUUGAACCGCAUGGUUCAAUAGUGAAAGACGGUUUUGCUGUCACUUAUAGAUGGAUCCGCGCCGCAUUAGCUAGUUGGUAAGGUAACGGCUUACCAAGGCAACGAAGCGUAGCCGACCUGAGAGGGUGAUCGGCCACACGGGAACGGAGACACGGUCCAGACUCCUACGGGAGGAAGCAGUAGGGAAUCUUCCGCAAUGGGCGAAAGCCUGACGGAGCAAGGCCGCGUGAGUGAUGAAGGUCUUCGGAUCGUAAAACUCUGUGAUUAGGGAGGAAGAAAUGUGGAAGUAACUGUGCACGUCUUGACGGUACCUAAUCAGAAAGCCACGGCUAACUACGUG
rnacentral:rRNA from 1 species